CAUGCCGUAAACGAUGAAUGCUAGGUGUUGGAGGGUUUCCGCCCUUCAGUGCCGCAGCUAACGCAUUAAGCAUUCCGCCUGGGGAGUACGACCGCAAGGUUGAAACUCAAAGGAAUUGACGGGGGCCCGCACAAGCGGUGGAGCAUGUGGUUUAAUUCGAAGCAACGCGAAGAACCUUACCAGGUCUUGACAUCCCAGUGACCACUCUAGAGAUAGAGUUUUCCCUUCGGGGACAUUGGUGACAGGUGG
rnacentral:rRNA from 1 species